rnacentral:rRNA from 1 species
AUGGGAGGAAUGUCUUUCGAUGUGCCUCCUCGCACACAUUCCCAUGAAGAUGCCGUUGAAGAUCUUGCCAACACCGUCGGAGCUUCACGUGAUGCGGUGCGCGAUGAGGAGAGGGAGGAAGAUUCAUCUUCGGAGGCGGAAGAAUCGUCUUCCGAAGAUGAGGACGAGGACGAAGACGACGACGAGGAAUGA